AGCGAACGCUGGCGGCAGGCUUAACACAUGCAAGUCGAACGAUCCCUUCGGGGAUAGUGGCGGACGGGUGAGUAACACGUGGGAACGUGCCUUUUGGUUCGGAACAACACAGGGAAACUUGUGCUAAUACCGGAUAAGCCCUUCGGGGAAGGAUUAUCGCCAUUAGAGCGGCCCGCGUCUGAUUAGCUAGUUGGUGAGGUAAAGGCUCACCAAGGCUACGAUCAGUAGCUGGUCUGAGAGGAUGAUCAGCCA
rnacentral:rRNA from 1 species